CCGGCACGGGUGAGUAACGCGUAUGCAACUUACCUAUCAGGAGGGGGAUAACCGGCGAAAGUCGGACUAAUACCGCAUGAAGCAGGGGCCCCGCAUGGGGAUAUUUGCUAAAGAUUCAUCGCUGAUAGAUAGGCAUGCGUUCCAUUAGGCAGUUGGCGGGGUAACGGCCCACCAAGCCGACGAUGGAUAGGGGUUCUGAGAGGAAGGUCCCCCACAUUGGUACUGAGACACGGACCAA
rnacentral:rRNA from 1 species